rnacentral:rRNA from 1 species
GAUGAACGCUAGCUACAGGCUUAACACAUGCAAGUCGAGGGGCAGCAUGAACUUAGCUUGCUAAGUUUGAUGGCGACCGGCGCACGGGUGAGUAACACGUAUCCAACCUGCCGAUGACUCGGGGAUAGCCUUUCGAAAGAAAGAUUAAUACCCGAUGGCAUAGUUCUUCCGCAUGGUGGAACUAUUAAAGAAUUUCGGUUAUCGAUGGGGAUGCGUUCCAUUAGUUUGUUGGCGGGGUAACGGCCCACCAAGACAACGAUGGAUAGGGGUUCUGAGAGGAAGGUCCCCCACAUUGGAACUGAGACACGGUCCAA